rnacentral:rRNA from 1 species
UACAGAGGUCCCGAGCGUUGUUCGGAUUCAUUGGGCGUAAAGGGUGCGUAGGCGGCGGGGAAAGUCUGAUGUGAAAUCCUGGGGCUCAACCCUGGAACUGCAUUGGAUACUUCCUUGCUAGAGUACUGGAGAGGAAACUGGAAUUUACGGUGUAGCAGUGAAAUGCGUAGAGAUCGUAAGGAAGACCAGUGGCGAAGGCGGCCAGCUGGGUCGUCCCUGACGCUGAGGCGCGAAGGCGUGGGGAGCGAACGGGG